CCCGCUGAACUUAAGCAUAUCAAUAAGCGGAGGAAAAGAAACUAACAAGGAUUCCCCUAGUAACUGCGAGUGAAGAGGGAAAAGCUCAAAUUUAAAAUCUGGCGGCACUUUUAUGCAGCCGUCCGAGUUGUAGUUUAGAGAAGUGCUAUCCGCGCUAGAACUGUGCAAAAGUUUCUUGGAAAAGAACAUCAUAGAGGGUGACAAUCCCGUCCUUGGCACAGAUUUCUUGGGGCUUUUGUGAUGCGCUCUCGACGAGUCGAGUUGUUUGGGAAUGCAGCUCUAAAUGGGUGGUAAAUUCCAUCUAAAGCUAAAUAUUGGCGAGAAACCGAUAGCGAACAAGUACCGUGAGGGAAAGAUGAAAAGAACUUUGAAAAGAGAGUUAAACAGUACGUGAAAUUGUUGAAAGGGAAACGCUUGAAGUCAGUUGUGUCUUACAGAGAUCAAGUCGACUUAAUUUGUUGGCCGUACUCUCUGGUUUUGACAGGUCAGCAUCAAUUUUGACCGCUGGAUAAAGGCCUUGGGAAUGUAGCAUCCUCGGAUGUGUUAUAAACCAUGGUUCGGAUACAGUGGUUGGGAUUGAGGAACUCAGUGUGCCUUCAAUGGUUGGGGCUUCAUUGCUCACACCUUUGCGCGCUUAGGAUGCUGGCAUAAUGGCUUUAAUCGACCCGUCUUGAAACACGG
rnacentral:rRNA from 1 species